GCUGAAAGUGUCCCUCUCUAUGGUUGUUGCUGGUAUUGUCCCUCUGUGGCGGUGUAGAAGUCGUCCAGGACACUCUGCAGGUACUCGAAGGUGGGCCUGUCUUCAGGUUUGUGCUUCCAGCAGGACGUCAUGAUGGCGUAGAGCUCGUCAGGACAGCUGUCAGGCUGAGGCAUCCUGUAGCCGCGCUGCACCGAGGAAAUCACCUCUCCUUUGGUCAUACCUGAGGAGAACACAGGCAGGCAUGCAGAUCACUGCGGUCAAACCUCCACCUUCAGCCACCUGAAGAAGACCACUCCCCCUGAAGAUCCCCACAGAAAGCUGUGGCCAAACCUCCACCUACAGCCUCUAUAAGGAAACCUGCACAGAUGUUAUCCUACUGCCAUGUGGAGACCUGAGUGGAACAGCAAGGACCAGAGAAACACACGCAGAUAUAGUCCUUCAGUUAAUAUGCAAACAUAUUUCUGUGUUAUUAAAGCUGGCUCUCUGUUUACAUUCUGUUCACUUGUUCUUCUUCUCACAGGUGUUUUCAAACGUUGUGAAAGACUGAGCUCACACUCCUCAACAUGAACCUGACUGACUGUGAUGAUGCCUUCAUGAAACGAGAGAGCUCCUCUUCCUCCCAAGUUAUCUACCAGGAGCUGCUUCAGGGCCCUGAGGACAACUCCUUUUACAACAGCUCUGUUCCAGAGAUGCUUCCUCCUCCUCCACAUCCUCCACCUUCACCACCCCUCCUGCUCAUCGCCAGAACUAAGAGUGCCCCACCCCAUCUCAGCAACCACCACCAGUUUCUCCUGCAGCCACCGCCUCCAUAUGUAGAUUCUGACAGACACUGCUGACAGCCAAACCUCCUCCUACAGCCUCUGCCAGUGCACCUGCGUCUACACCUCUUGAAGCCAACUGCGGCUGAACCUCCACCCACAGCCUCUGUCAGCAACCUGAACCAGCACCUACACCUCUCGUACACUACUGCCAUCCAAACCUCCACCUGUAACCUUUGCCAGCCGCCUGAAGACACCUCCUCCACCUGAAGAUCCCCACAGAAAGCUGGGGUCAAACCUCCACCUUCCGCCUCUAUAAGGAAACCUGCACAGAUGUUAUCCUACUGCUAUGGUUGGAUCUAAGUGGAACAGCAACGACCAGAGAAACACUGGUGUUUCCAUACGUUGUGUGAAAGACUGAGCACACACUCCUCAACAUGAACCUGACUGAUUGUGAUGAUGCCUUCAUGAAACAGAAAGAGCUCCUCUUCCUCCCACUUGCCUUGUUGGACUUCCAGAUCAAGAGAUGCUUCCUCCUCCCUAUCGUGCACGUUCACCACCCUUCCUGCUCAUUGCCAGGACUAAAAAUGCCCCUCCCCAUCUCUGCAACCACCAGCACUUUCUACGCAUGCCGAUUCAUUGAAGGCCAAAGAUUGCAGAGACGCUCCACCCGAGACUUCAGUGCCUUACUUUUCCAACAACGCCCCCUAAUACGACGUCCAAUGUGCUCUUUUAAGCCUCUGCACUGUUUUACAAUAAAUGAACUAUUGUCUGCAACCAUCUGAUCAGUAAUUUGAGACCAGAAUAAUUUGUAUAAAACAGAUCCUAAGGAUAUGAUUGUUUUUGUGUGUUUAAGUUGAAGUGUGUUCCUUUGUCAUGGUAUAUUAAUUAUUAGUCGCCACUUAUUUAGGGUUUAUAUUAAUACAUUAAUAACAUUAACACAUUCACUUUCUAGUAAUUCAUCAUGUCGGAAUUUCUUGAGCCAAAUGUACAAAGACAUCUGACACAAAAUGUAAUUACUGCAAUUACGGCUAUUUCAGCCAAUACAACAUUUCCACAAUCUCAUCUGAAAUAUCAACAAGUAUCAUUGAAAUGCGUAUUAAAUAAAUAAAAAGCGUGUUGUUUCAAUUUUC